UACGUAGGGUGCGAGCGUUAAUCGGAAUUACUGGGCGUAAAGCGUGCGCAGGCGGUUUUGUAAGCCAGAUGUGAAAUCCCCGGGCUUAACCUGGGAACUGCAUCCGAUACUGGAUGGCUUGAAUCCGGGAGAGGGAUGCAGAAUUCCAGGUGUAGCGGUGAAAUGCGUAGAUAUCUGGAGGAAUACCGGUGGCGAAGGCGGCAUCCUGGACCGGCAUUGACGCUGAUGAGCGAAAGCUAGGGGAGCAAACGGG
rnacentral:rRNA from 1 species